AUGUCUGUGGCCAUAGCAGUGUCGUCAGAAGUCCGAAACCGAUUCUCCGUCGACUCUCCCGCCACGGUAGUAGCGGAAAACGAACAAGAGAAACUGCAUAGAAUCUGAAAACCGCUCGGAGAUUCCCGAAAUACUUGAACUGUCACCAUUUUAGUUGUCUGGAUGAGCAACUGAUGCAUUUAUUAGGUGAAUUUUCCCCUUCCUCUACUUUUCUGGAUUUACCUCAAUUUUGUUCCAUUUUAUGUUUUACUUUCACUGUUUCCUUCGAUUUCUAGUUAGUCUCGUUAAGUUAUAGUUCAUAGCGAAUCGGAAUUCUAUCUCGAAUUGUUCCAUUUUAUGUUUUCCUUUCACUGUUUUCUUCGAUUUCUAGUUAGUCUUGUUAAGUUAUAGCUCAUAGCGAAUCGGAAUUCUAUCUCGAAAGCUUUAAACCAUAGCAGUGAGAAGGAUUGCUAUGAAGGUUGUGUGAAGUUAAGUAUUGAAUCAAGAAGCUUAUAGUGCACUGCUAUGGAGCAGCAAUCCGAGACUGGUAAUUCAACUGAAUUGGAUGAGAGGGUCCCCAAAGCUAACGAAGGGAGAGUUCAUUGGAAUAAAGGCAGGAAGCACAGUCCUGAAACAUUGCAACAGAUUAGAGAGAGAAUCAGGCUUGCAAUGCAGGACCCUAAGGUGAUGUCUUGCAUAAAUAACCAGGCUUAUGGUAUUAGGAAAUGUUGAUUUGAGGAGAACAAUCAUGAUAGUAUGUAUUGCUUGUUAUUAAGUCUUACCUUGAAAUGAUUGGUAGCUUGGAUGAGCUCUUGUUUGAUUAGCUAGUAAAAUGCUUAUUUGUUUUC